GACUUAAGUGAGGUGUGAAAGCCCCGGGCUUAACCUGGGAAUUGCAUUUCAUUCUGGGUCGCUAGAG
rnacentral:rRNA from 1 species